GAUGAACGCUGGCGGCGUGCCUAAUACAUGCAAGUCGAGCGAACGGACGCGAAGCUUGCUUCUCUGAUGUUAGCGGCGGACGGGUGUGUAACACGUGGAUAACCUACCUAUAAGACUGGGAUAACUUCGGGAAACCGGAGCUAAUACCGGAUAAUAUUUUGAACCGCAUGGUUCAAAAGUAAAAGACGGUCUUGCUGUCACUUAUAGAUGGAUCCGCGCUGCAUUAGCUAGUUGGUAAGGUAACGGCUUACCAAGGCAACGAUGCAUAGCCGACGUGUGAGAGUGAUCGGCCACACUGGAGGUGAGACACGGUCCAGACUCCUACGGGAGGCAGCAGUAGGGAAUGUUACGCAGUGGGCGAAAGCCUGACGGAGCAACGCCACGUGAGUGAUGAAGGUCUUCGGAUCGUAAAACUCUGUUAUGAGGGGAGAACAUAUGUGUAAGUAACUGUGCACAUCUUGACGGUACCUAAUCAGAAAGCCACGGCUAACUACGUG
rnacentral:rRNA from 1 species